rnacentral:tRNA from 1 species
GCGCCUGUAGCUCAACUGGAUAGAGCAACGGCCUUCUAAGCCGUAGGUUGCAGGUUCGAGCCCUGCCAGGCGCG